UACGGAGGGUGCGAGCGUUGUCCGGAAUCACUGGGCGUAAAGGGCGCGUAGGCGGCUUCUCAAGCGUGUGGUGAAAGUCCGGGGCUCAACCCCGGAUCGGCCGUGCGGACUGGGGAGCUCGAGUUCUGUAGAGGCGGGUGGAAUUCCGGGUGUAGCGGUGGAAUGCGUAGAGAUCCGGAAGAACACCAGUGGCGAAGGCGGCUCAGUGGCUCAUACUGGACGCUGAGGUGCGAAAGCGUGGGGAGCAAACAGG
rnacentral:rRNA from 1 species